rnacentral:rRNA from 1 species
UACGAAGGGGGCUAGCGUUGUUCGGAAUUACUGGGCGUAAAGCGCACGCAGGCGGCGCAUUAAGUCAGGGGUGAAAGGCCUGGGCUCAACCCAGGAACUGCCUUUGAGACUGAUGCGCUCGAGUCCGGAAGAGGGUAGUGGAAUUUCCAGUGUAGAGGUGAAAUUCGUAGAUAUUGGAAAGAACACCGGUGGCGAAGGCGGCUACCUGGUCCGGUACUGACGCUCAAGUGCGAAAGCGUGGGGAGCAAACAGG